GACGAACGCUGGCGGCGUGCUUAACACAUGCAAGUCGAACGGAAAGGCCCUGCUUGCCGGGUACUCGAGUGGCGAACGGGUGAGUAACACGUGGGUGAUCUGCCCUGCACUUCGGGAUAAGCCUGGGAAACUGGGUCUAAUACCGGAUAGGAGCCAUUUUUAGUGUGAUGGUUGGAAAGUUUUUUCGGUGUAGGAUGAGCUCGCGGCCUAUCAGCUUGUUGGUGGGGUAAUGGCCUACCAAGGCGGCGACGGGUAGCCGGCCUGAGAGGGUGGACGGCCACAUUGGGACUGAGAUACGGCCCAGACUCCUACGGGAGGCAUCAGUGGGGAAGAUUGCACAAUGGGCGCAAGCCUGAUGCAGCGACGCCGCGUGGGGGAUGACGGCCUUCGGGUUGUAAACUCCUUUCGCUAGGGACGAAGCUUUUUGUGACGGUACCUAGAUAAGAAGCACCGGCUAACUACGUG
rnacentral:rRNA from 1 species